UAAUGGGUGAUGGCGUGCCUUUUGUAGAAUGAACCGGCGAGUUACGAUUUGAUGCAAGGUUAAGCAGUAAAUGUGGAGCCGUAGCGAAAGCGAGUCUGAAUAGGGCGUUUAGUAUUUGGUCGUAGACCCGAAACCAGGUGAUCUACCCUUGGUCAGGUUGAAGUUCAGGUAACACUGAAUGGAGGACCGAACCGACUUACGUUGAAAAGUGAGCGGAUGAACUGAGGGUAGCGGAGAAAUUCCAAUCGAACCUGGAGAUAGCUGGUUCUCUCCGAAAUAGCUUUAGGGCUAGCCUCAAGUGAUGAUUAUUGGAGGUAGAGCACUGUUUGGACGAGGGGCCCCUCUCGGGUUACCGAAUUCAGACAAACUCCGAAUGCCAAUUAAUUUAACUUGGGAGUCAGAACAUGGGUGAUAAGGUCCGUGUUCGAAAGGGAAACAGCCCAGACCACCAGCUAAGGUCCCAAAAUAUAUGUUAAGUGGAAAAGGAUGUGGCGUUGCCCAGACAACUAGGAUGUUGGCUUAGAAGCAGCCAUCAUUUAAAGAGUGCGUAAUAGCUCACUAGUCGAGUGACACUGCGCCGAAAAUGUACCGGGGCUAAACAUAUUACCGAAGCUGUGGAUUGUCCUUUGGACAAUGGUAGGAGAGCGUUCUAAGGGCGUUGAAGCAUGAUCGUAAGGACAUGUGGAGCGCUUAGAAGUGAGAAUGCCGGUGUGAGUAGCGAAAGACGGGUGAGAAUCCCGUCCACCGAUUGACUAAGGUUUCCAGAGGAAGGCUCGUCCGCUCUGGGUUAGUCGGGUCCUAAGCUGAGGCCGACAGGCGUAGGCGAUGGAUAACAGGUUGAUAUUCCUGUACCACCUAUAAUCGUUUUAAUCGAUGGGGGGACGCAGUAGGAUAGGCGAAGCGUGCGAUUGGAUUGCACGUCUAAGCAGUAAGGCUGAGUAUUAGGCAAAUCCGGUACUCGUUAAGGCUGAGCUGUGAUGGGGAGAAGACAUUGUGUCUUCGAGUCGUUGAUUUCACACUGCCGAGAAAAGCCUCUAGAUAGAAAAUAGGUGCCCGUACCGCAAACCGACACAGGUAGUCAAGAUGAGAAUUCUAAGGUGAGCGAGCGAACUCUCGUUAAGGAACUCGGCAAAAUGACCCCGUAACUUCGGGAGAAGGGGUGCUCUUUAGGGUUAACGCCCAGAAGAGCCGCAGUGAAUAGGCCCAAGCGACUGUUUAUCAAAAACACAGGUCUCUGCUAAACCGUAAGGUGAUGUAUAGGGGCUGACGCCUGCCCGGUGCUGGAAGGUUAAGAGGAGUGGUUAGCUUCUGCGAAGCUACGAAUCGAAGCCCCAGUAAACGGCGGCCGUAACUAUAACGGUCCUAAGGUAGCGAAAUUCCUUGUCGGGUAAGUUCCGACCCGCACGAAAGGCGUAACGAUUUGGGCACUGUCUCAACGAGAGACUCGGUGAAAUCAUAGUACCUGUGAAGAUGCAGGUUACCCGCGACAGGACGGAAAGACCCCGUGGAGCUUUACUGUAGCCUGAUAUUGAAAUUCGGCACAGCUUGUACAGGAUAGGUAGGAGCCUUUGAAACGUGAGCGCUAGCUUACGUGGAGGCGCUGGUGGGAUACUACCCUAGCUGUGUUGGCUUUCUAACCCGCACCACUUAUCGUGGUGGGAGACAGUGUCAGGCGGGCAGUUUGACUGGGGCGGUCGCCUCCUAAAAGGUAACGGAGGCGCUCAAAGGUUCCCUCAGAAUGGUUGGAAAUCAUUCAUAGAGUGUAAAGGCAUAAGGGAGCUUGACUGCGAGACCUACAAGUCGAGCAGGGUCGAAAGACGGACUUAGUGAUCCGGUGGUUCCGCAUGGAAGGGCCAUCGCUCAACGGAUAAAAGCUACCCCGGGGAUAACAGGCUUAUCUCCCCCAAGAGUUCACAUCGACGGGGAGGUUUGGCACCUCGAUGUCGGCUCAUCGCAUCCUGGGGCUGUAGUCGGUCCCAAGGGUUGGGCUGUUCGCCCAUUAAAGCGGUACGCGAGCUGGGUUCAGAACGUCGUGAGACAGUUCGGUCCCUAUCCGUCGUGGGCGUAGGAAAUUUGAGAGGAGCUGUCCUUAGUACGAGAGGACCGGGAUGGACAUACCUCUGGUGUACCAGUUGUCGUGCCAACGGCAUAGCUGGGUAGCUAUGUGUGGACGGGAUAAGUGCUGAAAGCAUCUAAGCAUGAAGCCCCCCUCAAGAUGAGAUUUCCCAACUUCGGUUAUAAGAUCCCUCAAAGAUGAUGAGGUUAAUAGGUUCGAGGUGGAAGCAUGGUGACAUGUGGAGCUGACGAAUACUAAUCGAUCGAAGACUUAAUCAA
rnacentral:rRNA from 2 species